AUGAACGCUGGCGGCGUGCCUCAUCCAUGCAAGUCGCGCGAACAGACGAGGAGCUUGCUCCUCUGACGUUAGCGGCGGACGGGUGAGUAACACGUGGAUAACCUACCUAUAAGACUGGGAUAACUUCGGGAAACCGGGGCUAAUACCGGAUAAUAUAUUGAACCGCAUGGUUCAAUAGUGAAAGACGGUUUUGCUGUCACUUAUAGAUGGAUCCGCGCCGCAUUAGCUAGUUGGUAAGGUAGCGGCUUACCAAGGCAACGAUGCGUAGCCGACCUGAGAGGGUGAUCGGCCACACUGGAACUGAGACACGGUCCAGACUCCUACGGGAGGCAGCAGUAGGGAAUCUUCCGCAAUGGGCGAAAGCUUGACGGAGCAACGCCGCGUGAGUGAUGAAGGUCUUCGGAUCGUAAAACUCUGUUAUUAGGGAAGAACAAAUGUGUAAGUAACUAUGCACGUCUUGACGGUACCUAAUCAGAAAGCCACGGCUAACUACGUG
rnacentral:rRNA from 1 species